CCGCCCCAUACCUCAAGCCCCUUAUCAGUCGCCGCAGGAGCGUCCGCUCCGUCCCUGAGAAACUCCCUUCGAGGCUACGCCCCGUCAUCCAAGCUCCGCCCCCUCCCGCUCCGUGCGGUUGAGGUGGGGAAUCCCCGGGGACAACGGUCGCUGUCGCUCGGUGAAGAGACGGAAAAGCUGGGCCCAGGGCCGGCGAAACAAGUCAAUGUGAGGACCACAAGCAAGAGAAAGUGAGUGGUCUUGACCUGCUGCAGGUGACUACAAGGGAGAGGGCUGGUUAGUGAGUAGCAGCUCAUAUGAUAAUGGUGGCAUCAAGGGAUCCCAAUGCAGAUCAUGGCAGCAAUGAAUGAGCCCAGCAUGGAUCUCAUGGUAACAGCAAUGGGCCCAGCGCAGACCUUGUGGCAGCAGCAAGUGAGCCCAAAAUGGACUCGUUUGAGAUCUUACUUACUUUUCUGGAGCACGCAUGGGACCUAGCAUCGGAAUUGGCGGCUGCUACAUCAGUGGAGGUGACAGUGGCAAAAGAUGGCACCUGAGGAUCGGCGAUUUCUUUGUUCGUUGGGUCUGGCGCUGGUGGUGGCAAAGCAGCGGUGGAAGGGAAUCACAGUGAUGUCAACAAGAUGGGCCCAACAGCAAGAGAUGUGACUCUGACGUUGGUGAAUCCAGUGCAAGCGGCGGCAAGGUUGUGGUGAAGCAGAACUGGCUCAGCAGAAAAUGAUGGUGCCUGAAGAAUGGUAACUUUAACGUUGGUUGGGUCCGAUGUAGACAGCGACGAGGCAGUGGAGGAGGGAUGGCAGCGCACGCCUUGCUGAUGAUGAUUUGGCUAAGGACUGAUAGACGCUCUUUAAGCUAUGUCUUUCUAUUACUUUCUUAUUUUUAAACUAUUCAAAAUGGUGCUGGAUCAUGGCAACAGUGGAAAAGCUUUUCACUGUAUUUUAUUGUUGUUCUCACUGUAAAAUACACAUAACAAGAAAAAAUAAUUCAAACCCUGCAAGGAGGAGCUGCAGCCAAGAUGAUUGACCUCCAAUGAUUGCAAUCAUCUUCUUUUGAACUCAACUUCUAAUGAUCCCAGCUGAUGGUAACUUGUACAAGACAGAUUCCAGAGUGAAACCUGGCUUGAUAGACUGUGAAUGUUAUUUUUAAUUUGAUUUUACAAAUUAAUUCAGUCACUUGCAAUGUAUGGUGUACAACAUAUAUUUUUAAUAUCAUUUAUUUUAGUGUUUGUACUUUGAACGAGUUGAACAUGGAUUUUGGUCUGUGUAUGAAGGAGUUUCUGUAUUUUCUAGAGCUUAAAAAAAGUAUGAAAAGUUUCCUGGAAUGUAAUGAAGUUUUGUUUGUAUUUGGAUUAGGGAAAACAUGGCAUGGAAGUCAUUUUGGUUUCCAUUUUCAGAUAUCCUGAUGAAAGUUAGAUGUGCAAAACAAUUUCUCCUGAAGAAAGGAGAUAGUCUAGAACUAAAAAAGUAGGUUACCUCGGUAUGAAGAGUUUAGUUUGAAAGUUCCAGAUCAGAAGUGUUUUCUUAGAACCCUGAGGGUAUAUUUGAAACUGAGAAUAUCAAAGAUCAGUUGUCUGAGCACUCAAGGAAGAGGCUAUCAAGUUUUCAAGACAACAAUAUUGUAGUAAUGUUAAACCAGAAGUAGGGUUUAUUUCACACACUGUUAGAUGCAGGGGCAAUCUCAUACCACAGGCACACUUACAAACAUAUAAAGUGUUAUAGAAUCAAAAUGGAUAAAGAUUCAAUUAUUCAUAACUUUAACUCAAAUUAAUGAAGGGACAUCAAUUUAUCAAUUCCCUGGCUUUUAAAAUGGAGUCCAAAAGCCCAAAAUUAGAUUUGGCCCUCUGAAAUUUAUUUGUGUGAAUGGUUGAUUGGCUAGCCAGUAAUUGAAGAAUUGUAGCAAGUUUUUUCUCUUUCAUAAUCCUUUUGAAGUUCUUCCGAGGAAGUUCUGCAGCAAUGUGUCUUCUGUCUCACUGUUUGGAGAAAUGUGUUUUUACUUGUACAGUGCACAAUACAGAUUGGUGAGUGCAUUUUACAAACCAGAAGCUCUUGCUUUGUAGCCCAAAGAUGGGUGCUUUGAUUUUGUCAGUAGUAGUUAUAUAGAAAAGUGCUAACUUCUUUUGCCCACUAUUUCAAAAUAAUGUAGUAAAAAGUCAUACUAUGGGGGUUAUGUGACCAAGCUUCUUGGAGACGAGAACCAGUUACCAUUGACAAAAAGGUCUGCAUUGCAGGUAACCAACUAUCUAUUACCCAUUUCACUGGUUAAAUGGAAAGUUAAUAAUAUAUUGCCUUGUAAAAUCGGUAUAACUACUUUGUAAGGGAUUGUCUUGGAGACAAUAAUCUCUGUAGAAAACUAUAACACAAUUCACUGAACACAGUGUGUCCUUGUUUGAGGACAUCAAGCAAGUUUUUCAAAUAAACAUUUCAUCUUUUGUAGAACAA